UCCGUAGGUGAACCUGCGGAAGGAUCAUUACCGAGUGCGGGCCCUCGCGGCCCAACCUCCCACCCUUGUCUCUAUACACCUGUUGCUUUGGCGGGCCCACCGGGGCCACCUGGUCGCCGGGGGACGCAAGUCCCCGGGCCCGCGCCCGCCGAAGCGCUCUGUGAACCCUGAUGAAGAUGGGCUGUCUGAGUACUAUGAAAAUUGUCAAAACUUUCAACAAUGGAUCUCUUGGUUCCGGCAUCGAUGAAGAACGCAGCGAAAUGCGAUAAGUAAUGUGAAUUGCAGAAUUCCGUGAAUCAUCGAAUCUUUGAACGCACAUUGCGCCCCCUGGCAUUCCGGGGGGCAUGCCUGUCCGAGCGUCAUUUCUGCCCUCAAGCACGGCUUGUGUGUUGGGUGUGGUCCCCCCGGGGACCUGCCCGAAAGGCAGCGGCGACGUCCGUCUGGUCCUCGAGCGUAUGGGGCUCUGUCACUCGCUCGGGAAGGACCUGCGGGGGUUGGUCACCACCAUAUUUUACCACGGUUGACCUCGGAUCAGGUAGGAGUUACCCGCUGAACUUAAGCAUAUCAAUAAGCGGAGGA
rnacentral:rRNA from 1 species